rnacentral:lncRNA from 1 species
AUGGGUUCUCAGAGCACCAUCAACCUCUUUUCUAGUGCUUUUCUUGUAGGUAUGUACACAAAGUCUGUUUCCCAGCUCCCCUCAACACUCUAUGGAGGAAGAGACUGCUUCUAUUCCCCAAUACUGGACCGUGGCCCUUCAUAUUCAUCCACGGAGCUGGCACAGUGGUUAACCCUUGGGAUGGUGAGAGUGUGUGGGACUGGCCAGGGGGGCUGCGUGGGCCCGACCUUCCAAAACUGCAGCUAUUUUUCAAGAUACGUUCUUUAUACCCUAAAACAUAAAAUCCCUGGUUUUGCCUUCUUCUCGUGACAAAGAAGGUAGGAAAGAGGGCGUGUUAACAGAGGUGGAAAUGAAACAAGCCUUUUCACAGACUGCUUAAAUGAAGAUUUACCUAACAUUUAGCAGAUGCGCUGAGAGUGCUAAAAGGUUCUGGAGCGUCCCCCAUGGCAUUAGGUAUGAAGACGAAGGUAUUUAGGACUCUGUGUCCCCUGACCUUGCUGAAACUUAGUCUUGAAUACAAAGAGGCAAAGUAGGCC